rnacentral:lncRNA from 1 species
AACACGAUUACUGGUCCACCUAGAAAUGCCGUGGAGCGAUUUAAGAGCCUCGGAAAUUUCCUUUAAGGUCAGGAGAGAAGCUGGUAACAGAUGGGGCGAAGGAGGAAAAGUUCUUUUUGCGGCACCCUCACGCCUUCCCAGCCCUUUCGCGGUUUACUCGCUCCCCGGAAAGCAGGGCAUUCAAGCAGCCCUGAGGAGAGGUCCACAUGGUGAGCCACUGAGGGCCUUGCCAAGAGCCAGCACCAACGGUCCAGGUUUGGAGUGUACCACCUUGGAAGUGAAUCUUCCAGUCCAGUCAAGCCUUCAGAUGACUUCAGAACCGUCCAUGUAAGCCACUCUUGGAUUCCUGACCCACAGAAACUGUUGGAGGCAUUAUCAACAGUUUCUAACAUCACAGACAGACAAACAUGUGCCUCCUGAUUGAAAAAACAGAACAUCACCUGUAGUCUUGCCAGUGAGAUCAAACUGAAGUCCAAUUAACCUCUGGAUCCAGCUGCCAAUUUGCAGGAAAUAGAGGAGAGAAGCAUCUGUUGAACUGCACCAUGAGUAUACACUCAGCAAAGGCCAAACUGUGGAAAAUGAUACAGGUCAAACAGCCUGGAUUCUUUAACAGACGGAGUCUCACUCUGUCACCCAGCCUGAAGUGCAAUGGUACAAUCUCAGCUCACUGCAACCUCCGCCUCCCGGGCUCAAGCAAUUCUCCUGCCUCAGCCUCCUGAAUAGCUGGGAUUACAGGCACGCGCCACCACGCCCAGCUAAUUUUUGUAUUUUUAGUAGAGACGGGGUUUCACCAUGUUGCCCAGGCUGGUCUUGAACUCCUGACCUCAGGUGAUCCACCCACCUCAGCCUCCCAAAGUGCUGGGAUUACAGGCAUGAGCCACCGUGCCUGGCCUUUUGUAUCUGUUUUAUUUUUUAAAUAAUAAGAUUAAAAAUAAAUAUUCUGCAUGAUUAAACAAAUACAGAUUUAAAUUUUUACAGUCCAAUUGAGUGAUUUCCUCAUGUUCCAAAACCAGGAAGUAGGUGUGGGACAUCUAUCUCCGUAUUGCAUACACAGUCUGGAUUCUAGUUGUAGACUCCAUAUGGGCUGUCAUACACGCUACUACAGAAAUGAGAGAAAUCCUUGGGAAAUGGAACCAUCUCACACAUGAGAGACAUCUCUGACAACUUAUUCAUAACUGAAUACUUCUCAUUUAUCUUUACCAGUAAGUGAUGUUUCUGAAGCACCAAUGAAAAUGAAGUCCUGAAGUCCUGUGCUCAAUAUGAAAUGUUGGAAGUUAGAAGAAAAAAACAAAACUUGGAUCCAAUCUCAAGGCACUUUUUGUUUAAUGGGAAGAAGUGGAUUAUUUUAAAAGCUACAAAUAAAGUUACAUAAAAGUA